CGCAUCUGUGCAUGCAGCAUAUCAAUAAGCGGAGGAAAAGGAAAUCGGUCGCCCCAGUACCUACGCUUAGGAUGUUGACACACGCGCGUGCUCGGCGUCUAUACAUGACUCUGUGCAUAUCAAUAAGCGGAGGAAAAGUAACUAACAAGGAUUCCCCUAGUAACGGCGAGUGAAGCGGGAAGAGCUCAAAUUUGAAAUCUUAAAGGGUUUCCCUUUACGAAUUGUAGUUUAAAGAAGUGUUUUCUGUUGAGGUUUUGGUAAAAGUUCUUUGGAAUAGGACAUCAUAGAGGGUGAGAAUCCCGUAUUUGACCUUUACCUUCAACUUUGUGAUACACUUUCAAAGAGUCGGAUUGUUUGGGAAUGCAGUCCAAAAUGGGUGGUAAAUUUCAUCUAAAGCUAAAUAUUGGCGAGAGACCGAUAGCGAACAAGUACCGUGAGGGAAAGAUGAAAAGAACUUUGAAAAGAGAGUUAAACAGUACGUGAAAUUGUCAAAAGGGAAGCGUUUGACACCAGUGUUGUUUUUCUGAAAAUCAAUUAAAGAACUGUUUAUGCUAAGCUGUUUAGACUUUAUCAGCUAACUGUUUAGUUUUGAGCUUUUCUUUAAUGCACUUUUCAGUUAACAAGUACAACAUCAAUUUCUUUUGCUGUAAAAAAGCUUGAGGAAGGUGGCUUGAGAUUCGUCUUAAGUGUUUAUAGCCUCUUGCCUAUGCAGUCGGAGAGAUUGAGGUCUGCAGCGUAGAUCCUUCGGGGCUAAAUGCAUUUGUGCUAAGUUAUAGCAUUUUAUAGACAACUUGUUGACUAUGAUUUGUCUUGUAGCUUACUCGCUUAUGUUAUUUUACCUACGCUUAGGAUGUUGAGCGCAUGUCUCUCUCU
rnacentral:rRNA from 1 species